UCUAAAAUGGCAGAUAAAUGCACUAGGCUUAGGACCUAUUUAUGAGAAACAAAUCUCUUUUAGAA
rnacentral:tRNA from 1 species